rnacentral:rRNA from 1 species
UGCCACUUGAAUAAAAAUAAGUGGUACUUCCUGCCCAAUGAAUCUUCAAUGGCCGCGGUAUCCUAACCGUGCAAAGGUAGCAUAAUCAUUUGCCUAUUAAUUGUAGGCUAGAAUAAACGGAUAAACGAAGUAAUAGCUAUCUAUAGUAGCAAAAUAAAAAUUAAUAUUUCAGUGAAGAAGCUGAAAUUAACCUAUAGGACAAGAAGACCCUAUAGAGCUUUAUCUUAACUAUAUUAUAAAUAUAAACAGAUUUAGUUGGGGCGACUAAGGAACAAUCAUCCUAUAAAAAAUAGAUUAACAAAUCAAAUCACAGAUCCUAAAACAGAUCACAGAAAUUAGCUACCUUAGGGAUAACAGGCUAAUUUCUCUAAAGAGCCCAAAUUGAUAGAGAAGAUUGGCACCUCGAUGUUGGCUUAAGAUAUCUAUAAGAUGCAGCAGUCUUAAUAGUGGGUUUGUUCAACCCAUAAAAUCUU